rfam:Thermanaeromonas toyohensis ToBE genome assembly, chromosome: I
AUCAUUACAAGCAAGCAACCGUAGACAGCAGGUGCUCCCUAAGGGAGCUUAAACAGGCCUGCCGAGGUUGGUAGUAGCCCUUAAAAACACUAAGGGAGGAGUGCCCCUGCUGUCGUGGCAGGGGCUUUCUAUUUUAUAAG